GAUGAAGAACGUAGCGAAAUGCGAUACGUAAUGUGAAUUGCAAAUUCAGUGAAUCAUCGAGUCUUUGAACGCACAUUGCGCCCCCUGGUAUUCCGGGGGGCAUGCCUGUCCGAGCGUCAUUGCUGCCCUCAAGCACGGCUUGUGUGUUGGGCCCCGUCCUCCGAUCCCGGGGGACGGGCCCGAAAGGCAGCGGCGGCACCGCGUCCGGUCCUCGAGCGUAUGGGGCUUUGUCACCCGCUCUGUAGGCCCGGCCGGCGCUUGCCGAUCAACCCAAAUUUUUUAUCCAGGUUGACCUCGGAUCAGGUAGGGAUACCCGCUGAACUUAAGCAUAUCAAUAAGCGGAGGA
rnacentral:misc_RNA from 1 species